rnacentral:rRNA from 1 species
GACGAACGCUGGCGGCGUGCUUAACACAUGCAAGUCGAACGGAAAGGCCCUGCUUUUGUGGGGUGCUCGAGUGGCGAACGGGUGAGUAACACGUGAGUAACCUGCCCUUGACUUUGGGACAACUUCAGGAAACUGGGGCUAAUACCGGAUAGGAGCUCCUGCUGCAUGGUGGGGGUUGGAAAGUUUCGGCGGUUGGGGAUGGACUCGCGGCUUAUCAGCUUGUUGGUGGGGUAGUGGCUUACCAAGGCUUUGACGGGUAGCCGGCCUGAGAGGGUGACCGGCCACAUGGGGCCUGAGAGACGGCGCAGACUCCUACGGGAGGCAGCAGUGGGGAAUAUUGCACAAUGGGCGGAAGCCUGAUGCAGCAACGCCGCGUGCGGGAUGAGGGCCUUCGGGUUGUAAACCGCUUUCGCCUGUGACGAAGCGUGAGUGACGGUAAUGGAUAAAGAAGCACCGGCUAACUACGUG